rnacentral:rRNA from 1 species
GUGAACGCUGGCGGUAGGCCUAACACAUGCAAGUCGAACGGCAGCACAGUAAGAGCUUGCUCUUCGGGUGGCGAGUGGCGGACGGGUGAGGAAUACAUCGGAAUCUACUUUUUCGUGGGGGAUAACGUAGGGAAACUUACGCUAAUACCGCAUACGACCUACGGGUGAAAGCAGGGGAUCUUCGGACCUUGCGCGAUUGAAUGAGCCGAUGUUGGAUUAGCUAGUUGGCGGGGUAAAGGCCCACCAAGGCGACGAUCCGUAGCUGGUCUGAGAGGAUGAUCAGCCACACUGGAACUGAGACACGGUCCAGACUCCUACGGGAGGCAGCAGUGGGGAAUAUUGGACAAUGGGCGCAAGCCUGAUCCAGCCAUACCGCGUGGGUGAAGAAGGCCUUCGGGUUGUAAAGCCCUUUUGUUGGGAAAGAAAAGCAGCAGGUUAAUACCCCGCUGUUCUGACGGUACCCAAAGAAUAAGCACCGGCUAACUUCGUG